rfam:Porphyromonas endodontalis ATCC 35406 contig00108, whole genome shotgun sequence.
CAACUCUUCUGGGGGUGCUUUGGAUAGUUACUCUCUCCCUUUAUAGGGGUAGAGAAACGAGAGCAAGGCUGAGAUGAUACCCUGAACCUGAUCCGGAUAAUGCCGGCGUAGGCAAAGAAGCUUUCAUCACAC